rfam:Candidatus Nomurabacteria bacterium CG1_02_43_90 cg1_0.2_scaffold_287_c, whole genome shotgun sequence.
GGGGGAGGAAGGAGAGGAUGACGCCAGGUCAGCAUGUCCCUUUGAUACCCUGGGCUGCACACUUGAUACAAUGGUCACUACAACGGGUCGCGACGGGGUAACCCUGAGCCAAUCCUAAUAAAGGUGGCCCCAGUUCGGAUUGAGGGCUGAAACUCGACCUCAUGAAGUUGGAAUCGCUAGUAAUCGCGGGUCAGCUAUACCGCGGUGAAUACGUUCUCAAGUCUUGUACUCACCGCCCGUCACGUCAGGGGAGCCGAGAGUACCCGAAGUCCCACCUUGCGUGGGCCUAAGGUAAGCUUGGUAACAAGGACGAAGUCGUAACAAGGCACGGCUAGCGGAAGCUGGUCGUGAAUCAAUUCAAAA